UUAAUGUCGAUGGCAACGACGAAGAACCUUACCUGGGUGUUGACAGGCACAGGACCCCGGCAGAGAGGUCGGUUCCCUUGUGGCCUGUGGGCAGGGGGGGCAUGGCUGUCGUCAGCUCGUGUCGUGAGAUGUUGGGGUAAGGCCCGCAACGAGCGCAACCCUUAUCCUAUGUUGCCAGCGCGUAAUGGCGGGGACUCGUGGGAGACUGCCGGGGUCAACUCGGAGGAAGGUGGGGAUGACGUCAAGUCAUCAUGCCCCUUAUGUCCAGGGCUUCACACAUGCUACAAUGGCUGGUACAGUGGGUUGCGAUACCGUGAGGUGGAGCGAAUCCCUGAAAGCUGGUCUCAGUUCGGAUCGCAGUCUGCAACUCGACUGCGUGAAGUCGGAGUCGCUAGUAAUCGCAGAUCAGCAACGCUGCGGUGAAUACGUGCCCGGGC
rnacentral:rRNA from 1 species